rnacentral:rRNA from 1 species
UACGUAGGGUGCGAGCGUUGUCCGGAAUUAUUGGGCGUAAAGAGCUUGUAGGCGGUUUGUCGCGUCUGCCGUGAAAAUCCGGGGCUCAACCCCGGACUUGCGGUGGGUACGGGCAGACUAGAGUGUGGUAGGGGAGAAUGGAAUUCCCGGUGUAGCGGUGAAAUGCGCAGAUAUCGGGAGGAACACCGGUGGCGAAGGCGGUUCUCUGGGCCUUACCUGACGCUGAGGAGCGAAAGCGUGGGGAGCGAACAGG